rnacentral:rRNA from 1 species
AAGCGGGAAGCCUGUUUUAAGAUGAGGUUUCAUUUGAGGUUCCCAGGAGACUACUGGGUUGAUAGGCCGGACCUGGAAGCACAGCAAUGUGUGGAGGCGACCGGUACUAAUACACCAAUAAACACCA